UCUCCAUUGUCAGAAGCGCAAUUUUCUCCAUAUGUUGGGAGUAUGCCCUUCUCGCCUUCAUCUCCAGGCUAUAGCCCUUCUUCCCCUGGAUAUAGUCCAUUGUCUCCAGGUUACAGCCCCACGUCACCUGGUUACAGUCCUACCUCACCUGGUUAUAGUCCAACGUCUCCAGGUUAUAGCCCAACAUCACCUUCAUACAGCCCGACUUCUCCUGGAUACAGUCCUACAUCACCUGGAUAUUCCCCUACUAGUCCAUCUUACUCUCCCACAUCUCCAAGCUAUGCCCCCACCUCACCUAGCUACAGCCCAACCUCACCUAGCUACAGUCCGACGUCGCCUAGCUACAGUCCCACUUCCCCAAGCUACAGUCCUACAUCUCCUGCUUAUAGUCCCAGUUCUCCAGCUUAUAGUCCUACCUCGCCCUCUUAUGCUCCAUCCUCACCUGCGUACAGUCCUACUUCUCCUAGUUACAGCCCUACAUCUCCUAGUUAUAGUCCUACGUCUCCUGGAUACUCACCGACUUC
rnacentral:lncRNA from 1 species